rnacentral:pre_miRNA from 1 species
AGCGAGGUAUAGAGUUCCUACGUGGUAUUUGUAAUAGUAGGAACUUCAUACCGUGCUCU